UACGAAGGGGGCUAGCGUUGCUCGGAAUUACUGGGCGUAAAGCGCACGUAGGCGGUCUUUUAAGUCGGGGGUGAAAUCCUGGAGCUCAACUCCAGAACUGCCUUCGAUACUGGAAGACUUGAGUCCGGGAGAGGUGAGUGGAACUGCGAGUGUAGAGGUGAAAUUCGUAGAUAUUCGCAAGAACACCAGUGGCGAAGGCGGCUCACUGGCCCGGUACUGACGCUGGGGUGCGAAAGCAUGGGGAGCGAACAGG
rnacentral:rRNA from 1 species